rnacentral:rRNA from 1 species
CCUACGGGGGGCAGCAGUGGGGGAUAUUGCACAAUGGGGGGAACCCUGAUGCAGCGACGCCGCGUGGGUGAAGGAGUAUUUCGGUAUGUAAAGCCCUAUCGGCAGGGAAGAAAUUGGACGGUACCUGACUAAGAAGCCCCGGCUAACUACGUGCCAGCAGCCGCGGUAAUACGGAGGGGGCAAGCGUUAUCCGGAUUCACUGGGGGUAAAGGGAGCGUAGACGGCCAUGCAAGCCAGGGGUGAAAGCCCGGGGCCCAACCCCGGGACUGCCCUUGGAACUGCAUGGCUGGAGUGCGGGAGGGGCAGGCGGAAUUCCUGGUGUAGCGGUGAAAUGCGUAGAUAUCGGGAGGAACCCCGGCGGCGAAGGCGGCCUGCUGGACCGCGACUGACGUUGAGGCUCGAAAGCGUGGGGAGCGAACAGGAUUAGAUACCCCAGUAGUC